AUGCCCCAGUGCGGUACAGGACAGAGAGUUACUGGUGUGUGUAAUGUGCAGGGGGUUUUUGUACGGCCGUUCAAUGAGUCUGAAUCACUGUGGUGGACUUUUGGUGGAGGCACCAAACUCAUCGUUGACUUGGGUGUGGUACGUCCCUCCCUGACCGUCCUACUCCCCUCCAGUGAAGAGCAGGACCAGGGGAAUGUGGUCCUAGCGUGCCUGGCCCACAAGGGCUUCCCGGAGGGCUGGAAGCUGGGUUGGAGGCUGGGGGCCGGGGGGGCCUUGCAGGGCAGCCAGAGCCUGGAGGUCCUGGAGAAGGACGGUCACUACAGCUGGAGCAGCAGCCUCACCCUCCCCACUGACCAGUGUUGGAAGGCUGGCUCAGUCACCUGUGAGGCCACCCUAAAGGACCAGACCCCCAUCACUCACACACUGGAGCCACACCACUGUUCCCAGUAGACACCCUGUACACAGAGAACACCUACCUAUCUGUCAUUCUAUCAUUCUAAAUAUCUAUCUAGAGCUUCAGCUCUGGUCAUCAAUCUGGGACUCUGUGUCUUUAAAUCUGUACCUGUUUUAUUGCUUUUGCUUUUAGAUUGGAAAUGUUAACAAAAUAAAAUGCUUUGUAUUAAUGUCAAACAAGGUGUCCCUGAUUUGUAUUAUAAAAUAAAUAUAAGUGAACAUC